rnacentral:rRNA from 1 species
UACCAGCACCCCGAGUGGUCGGGACGUUAUUGGGCCUAAAGCAUCCGUAGCCGGUCAUGCAAGUCCUCCGUUAAAUCCAGCCGCUCAACGGUUGGGCUGCGGAGGAUACUACGUGGCUAGGAGGCGGGAGAGGCAAGCGGUACUCAGUGGGUAGGGGUAAAAUCCUUUGAUCCAUUGAAGACCACCAGUGGCGAAGGCGGCUUGCCAGAAUGCGCUCGACGGUGAGGGAUGAAAGCUGGGGGAGCAAACCGG